CUAACUGUAGAAAGAGCACAUUUUUGAGAUGCCAGUACCAGCCUGGGAAGGAGCGUGCUCUUCAGCAAAAUAAUUGCCGGCUACCCGGCGGUUGUGAAGUCUCUUUUGCCACUGACUACAUAAAGACCAGAAUGUGCUCAGCUGAGAUUGAUCACUGGUGUGUGAAAUGACCAAAUUAUAACAAUGGAGAGUUUUCUGAGGAAUAGGUUCCCUAGAUGGCAACAUCAGCAGCUGGCAGCUCUGUGCUCAUUACGCCUGGGGAAAAAAGCACCAGCUUUCUCAAACCCCACUGCCUCCAGCAGCAGCGAGUAGAUGCGCUGUCAUGGGGAGGAGAUGCAAGUGGCAGCCACGCGGUAACCUCGUCUCUGGGGAGCUGGAGCAGCUGCGUGGAUCCUGCUUUGGGACAGACAGGAUUGAUGAGGGAUCGUUUAAUCACAGAUUGCCAAUACUGGAAGGCAGGCGUCCCUGCAAAGCAGAAGUUGUAG
rnacentral:lncRNA from 1 species